CAGUCGCCACGGGAAUACGUAGGUGGCAAGCGUUGCCCGGAAUUAUUGGGCGUAAAGGGCUCGCAGGCGGUUUCUUAAGUCUGAUGUGAAAGCCCCCGGCUCAACCGGGGAGGGUCAUUGGAAACUGGGAAACUUGAGUGCAGAAGAGGAGAGUGGAAUUCCACGUGUAGCGGUGAAAUGCGUAGAGAUGUGGAGGAACACCAGUGGCGAAGGCGACUCUCUGGUCUGUAACUGACGCUGAGGAGCGAAAGCGUGGGGAGCGAACAGGAUUAGAGACCCGCGUAGUCCCUGUCUCUUAUAC
rnacentral:rRNA from 1 species